rnacentral:rRNA from 1 species
CGCCAGACUCCUACGGGAGGCAGCAGUGGGGAAUAUUGCACAAUGGGGGAAACCCUGAUGCAGCGACGCCGCGUGAGUGAAGAAGUAUUUCGGUAUGUAAAGCUCUAUCAGCAGGGAAGAAAAUGACGGUACCUGAUUAAGAAGCCCCGGCUAACUACGUGCCAGCAGCCGCGGUAAUACGUAGGGGGCAAGCGUUAUCCGGAUUUACUGGGUGUAAAGGGAGCGUAGACGGUGAUGCAAGUCAGAAGUGAAAGCCCGGGGCUCAACUCCGGGACUGCUUUUGAAACUGUGUGACUGGAGUGCAGGAGAGGUAAGCGGAAUUCCUGGUGUAGCGGUGAAAUGCGUAGAUAUCAGGAGGAACACCAGUGGCGAAGGCGGCUUACUGGACUGUAACUGACGUUGAGGCUCGAAAGCGUGGGGAGCAAACAGGAUUAGAUACCCGCGUA